GGAGGAUUAGCUCAGCUGGGAGAGCACCUGCCUUACAAGCAGGGGGACGGCGGUUCGAUCCCGUCAUCCUCCACCA
rnacentral:tRNA from 1 species